AACGAACGCUGGCGGCAUGCCUAACACAUGCAAGUCGAACGAGACCUUCGGGACUAGUUGCGCAUGGGUGCGUAACGCGUGGGAACCUGCCCGUAGGUUCGGAAUAACUCCCUGAAGGGGGUGCUAAUACCGGGAAAUGUCUGCGGAUCAAAGAUUUAUCGCCUUUGGAUGGGCCCGCGUUGGUUUAGCUAGUUGGUAGCGUAAAAGCCUACCAAGGCGACGAUCCAUAGCUGGUCUGAGAGGAUGAUCAGCCACACUGGGACUGAGACACGGCCCAGACUACUACGGGAGGCAGGAGUGGGGGAUAUUGGACAAUGGGCGAAAGCCUGAUCCAGCAAUGCCGGGUGAGUGAUGAAGUCCUUAGGGUUGUACAGCUCUUUUACCCGGGAUGAUAAUGACAGUACCGGGAGAAUAAGCUCCGGCUAACUCCGUG
rnacentral:rRNA from 1 species